GACGAACGCUGGCGGCGUGCCUAAUACAUGCAAGUAGAACGCUGAAGGAGGAGCUUGCUUCUCUGGAUGAGUUGCGAACGGGUGAGUAACGCGUAGGUAACCUGCCUGGUAGUGGGGGAUAACUAUUGGAAACGAUAGCUAAUACCGCAUAAUAGCAGUUGUUGCAUGAUAACUGUUUGAAAGGUGCAAUUGCACCGCUACCAGAUGGACCUGCGUUGUAUUAGCUAGUUGGUGGGGUAACGGCUCACCAAGGCGACGAUACAUAGCCGACCUGAGAGGGUGAUCGGCCACACUGGGACUGAGACACGGCCCAGACUCCUACGGGAGGCAGCAGUAGGGAAUCUUCGGCAAUGGACGGAAGUCUGACCGAGCAACGCCGCGUGAGUGAAGAAGGUUUUCGGAUCGUAAAGCUCUGUUGUAAGAGAAGAACGAGUGUGAGAGUGGAAAGUUCACACUGUGACGGUAUCUUAACAGAAAGGGACGGCUAACUACGUG
rnacentral:rRNA from 1 species